UACAGUGCUUCAAAGUUUGCAAAGCUCUUUUUUUGUCCCCUAAACUCUUACCUUCUGUCUUAGAAUCUAUACUAAAUAUCAAUUCCAAGGCAGAAGAGUGAUAAGAACUAGUUAAUUGGGGUUAUGUGACUUGCCCAGGGCCAUACGGCUUGGAAGUAUCAGAAGCCAAAUUUGAAUUCAGGACCUUCCAUCUCCAGACUGGCUCUCUACCUGUCAAGUCACCUAGUCACCCCAAAGCUCUUUACAAAUAUUAUCUCACUGGCAGAAAGAGUUUAAGUAACUUGCCAAGGUCACAAAGAUGCUAAGUGUCUGAGGCUGAAUUUGAAUCCCUUACUUCCUAACUCUUGGUCCAGCACUAUGUCUAUUGUACCACUUGAGUGUCUCUCAUAACAAUCAAGCACUAAUUAAGCCCUUACUAUAUGCCAGGCACUGUGCUAAACUCUGGGGACACAAAGAAGUGUAAAAACACAGUCGAUGCCCUCAAGUAGCUCAUAUUCCAAUGGGUUCAAAUCUUGCCUUGGACAUUUCUUAGCUGUGGACAGGUCAUUUAACCCUGUUUGCCUAGCCUUUGCCUUUUCUUUCUGUCUUAGAAUUGUUACUAUGACAGAAAGUCAUGAUUAUUUAAAAAUAUAUAUAUGAGUAACAACAUGCAAGUAACUCUAGAUAAGAUCUCUGUGGUGUAAAUGGAAGGUUUCAUAGAGAAGACAGGGUCAGUGGAAAGGGGACAGGGGCAGGGGAGAAAGGAAAAGCUUCCCACAGAAAGCUGACUUGGAACUGAGUCUUGAGGAAAACCAGUGAAACCAGAAGACAUUGAUAAGCGUGGAAAGGAAAACUGAAACUGAGGAACCAUUGUUUAGAAUGUUGCUGGGAGGGGGAGCGGCAGUUGGAGCAGGAGAAGAGGCUUGUGGGAGAAAAAGCAGAGAAAGGAGUCUUGGCCCUGUGAACUCUGGAGAGUCAGCACCCAAGCUCGAGAGCCCAACCUGUGGGGUGACAGAGCCUUGCCUCCAUUUCCCUUGCCCUGUAGAGAGAAGAUUCUUGAUAUCUUUAGAUCAUCAACUAAAGAAGAAAAGAACAACAACUGCUGCUGAAGGGUGAACUUCCCGGGGUCACCACGAAGACCCUUCCCAUCCUUUGACCUUCCCAAGAAGGACACUUGACACAUGUUUAGUUUAGGAUAGUGACAGUGAUUAGAGGAAGGAGAAGAGACUCUGAAGCUGAGCCAUUUGUCUCCGCUGAAGAAAGAAACGACAACCUGUAGGGUCUCCUAUUCCCACAAACCUAUCUCCUCCUUUAUGUUACUUGAAUUAAUAAACUACCUUGUUUUGAAGAAACUCGAAGUCAGAUUCAAAUCAGAAGAACAAAGAAAGAGAAGGUGUUGGCUAGGCUGGCCAUUUAGCCUUGGCUAAACAACAAAGAGCCAACAGGGACGGUCAGACUGCCAGACAAGUGGGACUUCUGGGGGGUCAAGUACCAGUUAAGCCAUGAGAGAAGUAAACUCCAUUAUUCCCCAGGAGCCUACUCACUGAGACACUGCCCCUGUUCAUCCUUGCCUUAACAUCAGCUCAGAGGUACCUCUCUGGAAGCUUAGUAUACCCACCAGAACUGUUAUGCAGAUCCAGUGAGAUAAGAUGGGAAGCAGAUCAUGAUCAUCCAGCCUCCCAAGGCAGUCCUUGUGAAGGCACCAAGGAAGAUGCGGUAAAAAUGUGGAUGGUUCUAUUCAGCCCCUUUCCAUUACCAAAGAAAUCAUUCAAGUCAUCAUACCUUCAUUACCUACUUUGUACCACAGCUAGGAGGAAAAUGCCACUAGAGAGAAGAAACAAAGAGGAAAAAGCUGAAAUGGACAGCUAAGACUUUGAACUUUGUAAAUUUGUUUAUAUAAGAAGAGGACAAAUGGAAAACAGGACUUAUAUGCAAGACUGAGUGUGGCAAAAUCAUAAAACAAAAUUAAUUUCACAUAAUAGGGAAAUAGCAUGUAACACUACAUAACUUGGAAUAAAGAAGAGAUCCAUCAGUCAACAUGAGAAAUGGAAAUCUGAAGAAACUUGAUAAGUAUUCAUUCAACACAACACUAUUAGACACAAAACACAAAAUCACAAACUGACAUAUAUUGGGAGACCUCGUGUAAAUAAACAAGUGUCUGAAAUUGCAUUUUUGCAAAAUGUAAAUAUGUAUAUAGUUAGUUCCAUAAGGUCUUGGGCAAAUAGAAAGAUCAAUAGAUAUUUCUAUUUGACUGACAUCAAGAUGCAGUAACAAUGUAUAUUAUUGUAUUAUAUGUAAAUAAUCUCUAUAAAUAAUAUAUACUAUAACUAAGUCAGUAACAUGGUGAUAGGGUCUGUAAUAUGUAGCAUAGCAUGUAUAUAUGU